UCUUUUAUGUCGCUAUGCGAUAAAAUUUAAAACUUUGGUUAGUAAAUUUAAAAUUACAUGCUUAAAAAAAAUAAUAUUUUCCAAUUUUUGCUCAAAUAUACUUAAAAGUAUGUUCUUUUCUAUGGUUCAAUCCGAACUUACUUUUAUUUGCCCCAAUCAGAGAUAAUGACAUUUGAAAAAGGGCUAUUUAUGAGCGAAAAGUUUCCAUAACUUUUGAAAGUAUAAAGUUAGACUUUCAGAGUUAUGAAAAAACGUGGUUUGAAGUUUUCUAAAAGCUGUUCAAAGGUUGUUUUAACAAAAUAUAAAAUUUCUUUCGAACAUUAACAAGUCUCAAUUUUACAUUUGGAUUACUACUUGUAAUGAACUUAAGCAGUUCAUCUGUCUUUUUACCAGCAAUAAGCAAAUUCGCCAACUCUCUUCGACUAAUAUCCAUAUUUACUAGUUUUAUUUAAAACGAAUAAAAUCAGAAACCUUUUUUGACAGUCGUUUCACUUAUGCAAAGCUUGCUGCGAUGAGAGAAUGAUAUUUGAAAGUGGCUUUUUUUCAUAAUACAACGAUAUGUGUGUAAAUGCUUUAAUGCGUUGAACCUGCAAAACUACAAACUUUAAAUCUAAAUUGCAAAUUUUAAAAAAAUAUCGUAUUCGCCAAUUUUUGCUCAAAUAUACUAAUAAGUAUGGUCUUUCAUGUGGUGGAAACAGAAUUCAAUUUUAGGUGCCCGCAUCAGCGAUAUUGAGCCUUGAAAUAGGCUAUUUUUUUAACGAAAAGUGUCCAUAACUUUUUAAAGAAAAAAGUUAGACCUUCGGUGUCUUGGAGAAAAAUACUCGGCUUGAAGUUUUCAAUAAGCUGUUCAAAGGUUGUGUUAACAAAAAGUAAAAGAUACGAAAGUUAUACUAAAAAAACGUUUUUUUCAGGAACACCCUAAUCUUUUUUUUUAAAUUUCUUGUAUAACAAAAACUAAAAGAGAUAGAGCUUUAAUAUGUUCAACAAAUUUAUUCAAAAUAAGUUACUUUACAACUUUGUGGAAGACUGUGGAGCUCUAUCUUUCAUCAGUAAAAAGUUUAUUUUCGUAUUUUAGAUAAAUUAGAACCACCCUAAUAACUAUUCCAAUAAAAAGAAGCAUCUUCUAAAGUACACAAAUUCAUCCUAAGACAUGGUACGGCUAAAUUAUACAGGUUUGUCAGAAAGUAAAAAUUCCUCCUAAAUUAGCGAUCUGGACCACUGUGCAAUGGUAGUACGGAUUCCAAACAGCCGAACAAUAUUCUAACGCACAGUAAAGCGAUUUAAGACAAUAUACGUCCCUGAAGUUUUUAGCUAUUCGGAAGAUGAACCCAAGCUGUCGUGAUGCCUUAUCCACGAUGUAUGAAGUAUGUGGUUUGAAUGUUAGUGCCGAAUCCAUGAUGACUCCGAGAUCUUUGAUGUGAGAGUGUCUUGGAAUACUCGAGCCGAAGAAAUGGUAGUUAAACUGAGUCGGAUGGCGUUUCCGCGUCAACGUAACGAUUCAGCAUUUGCUGGGGUUUAAAACUAUUCUGUUUAGAUCACACCACGUACUAAAACUGACCAGUUCCCUCUGAAGAAGCUCGGCAUCGGUUUUAUCCCGUAUUUGUUGAAAAUUUUUCAUGUCGUCGGCGAAAGAAAGGUGGGGUCCUUGUAAUGUGAAAUUGACGUCAUUAAAGUAGAGGAGGAAUAUUACUGGACCGAGAUGGCUUCCUUGUGGUAUGCCGGAUGUAGCGAAGAAUGGUGCAGAUAGACAGUCCUUAAUGCUGAUUUGGAGUUGCCUUCCAUCGAGGUAGGAACGAAACCAGCGCAGAAGUUGUCCAUGAAUGCCGAGUUUGUCCAGCUUCGCUAUUGCGAUAUCGUGGUUGAUUUUGUCGAAGGCCGCAGAUAGAUCCAUGUAAAUAGCAUCGGUUUGCAAUCCGUCGGCGAAUCCAUCCAUUACAUAUGUUGUGAACGAGAGCAGGUUUGUUGUUGUCGAUCGUUUAGGCAUGAAACCGUGUUAGUCAUCUGCAAUGUAGUGAUUGCAGUGAAAGAAUAUAGGAUCUAACACAACCAGCUCGAACAGUUUUGAUACGGCACUCAAACACGAGAUUCCCCGAUAAUUGUCAAUGUUCGAUUUGUUUCCUUUUUUAUGAACUGGAAACAUGUGCGCUGCUUUCCAGCAGGAAGGGAAUGUACCAGUAGUGAGUGAUAGCUCGAAGACUCGCCGAAGUGGUUCAAGAAGCCCGCUAUUACAUGUCAUUCAUUUUACAGCAGUUUUCGAGUAAAAAUACAUUGAAGUGCAUUGGUUUUCCGUUUAAAGAAACUGUAAUUUUGAAUCCACGUGUAACUAAUAAAAUUCGUUGAAGAAAGCACGACAAGUCGUGUGUAUUUGUGGUGGAACUUAAUUUUAAAUUUAUAUUCAUGCUCCAAAUAUGUGCAUGAAAAUAAACUUAAAAUUAUAAAAUAUUUUUUUCUGUGUAGGACCAGACAAAAUUCCGUGUCAUUUUCCGGCUGGUGAGCGACAUGUAGGAGCCCUUAAUGCGUUGAGCGCAGCCUGACUAUCUGAGAAAAUGUAGAUAUUUGCAUACCAGUCUUUUCCUUUCAGACAUACUUAAGUGCAUUCUAGAAAGCCAAAUAUUUCAGCUUGAAACACUGUCGGCCAGUGCUAUUUAUUCCUGAAAAGUUCUAUUUUGCGUUGGGCAAAAAAAUGCGCUUUCACUACAGCUUUGCUGCCAAAGUUCAGAAAAACAAGAUACAAGGUUGUUUUUCACAACAAAUGCAUUAUAUAUUGUGUUAUUCUACCACAACAAGGUUAAUAUCACACAAAAUUCUUUAAAGGCUACAAAUAUUUACAUUGCUUAGAGUUCAAGAGAUAUCAAGUACUGGCAUUUUUUACAGCUAUUAAAAAACUAUUACUUCUCGAGCAAAAUUGUUACAAGGAAUAUUUAUGACAAACGGAAAAAUCCACCACGCAUGCGGGAGAUCACGUUCCACUGUACGGAAGGCUCUGCGAUCGUGUGAUGCUUAUCAAAGCUGCACUCUCAAAUCAAAGCAAUGAAAACCAGCGACAAAUUCGAUUCGUUUUUGUGAGAACUUUCGUGAUUUUUUUUUUGCUUGAAGUGGUACUUUUCUUCUCUGAUGUGCGUUUCACAAACUUGGUAACGUUGAUCAAUUGUUGACCUAUCCAUGAUAUGUUGCCAAAGGAUAUUAAACGAAACUGUUAAAGUGACUUUGACAGUUCGAUGCUUGUGACGCAAGUUAUCCCUGUGGGAAAGUAACACCCAAAUACACUCUGUCAGGACCGUCUUAAGAUCACUCGAGCCUCCGGGCACUAUUGAACAAAGGGGCUACUUUGACUUUUCCAAAUUUGAGCCAAGAAUCUUGCUAUCCUUUAAAUCAAUCAAUAUAAUGUUCAUCGCGAGACCUAAAAAAGUAGGGUUGGGAGGAGUUUGUUUUUGUGGAUGAGAGCCUGUAUCCAUUGACCACAACCACAGAACGCUUGCCAAACACAGAUUUGUUGGCCAUCGUGUUUUGUUUAUCGCUACGGUUCGAUCCCUUCCAACCUUAUAUACUUGUAGUCCAAACCCUAUCAUUGUUUUUGCUCAAAUUAAAGUGAAAUUUGGAUUGAAAUGCUUGAAUUGGUUCAAUGCCCCCGCGAGCUUGCUGUGUCGCGUUUCCUGCCGCUAGAAUCAUUUCACGCUUUAUGAACAUUUGAUCACAACAGAUACGAAACAAUAUACGAUUCAGAGCUGCUCUGCUACCAAUUCAUCGAUAGGAGGCAUUGGAAUAUUGAUGGAACAAUAUCUAUAUAACCUUUUAACUGUAUUCGACAUUCAAUUCAACUUUCUGUCAUUUUUAGCAACACACUACAGAGUUACAAACAAGCGACUGCACCUGUUUCGAAUCCAGGCGUUAGUGUGGAUUUACAUGAGGGAAGCCAAAAUCCCGGGGCCCCUGGAUCAGUGUGCCCAUGCAUUUUAAUAUUUCACCUUUUUGGUUGACAAUCAGACUGAUGUAGAUUUUUCUAGUAGCUCCGAGGGACCUUCGUGUGACCAGAUUUGAGGAGUUUGACAAAGCAUGUUCUAACAAUACAAUACUGAAACGUCAGCCAUAAGACAUUCUUCAGUUAUUGGCCGGUUCAUUACAAUUUUCUCGGAUUUGUUUUAUUCAUCAAUGUUAUCAAUAAGGACUACAAAUACGAAAUAAACAAAUUAACAAAGAUUUACUAUAACAUGUAAUCAAGAAAGCAUUGUGUACAAUCGCUUUGCUGUUGGAACACAUUCUGGUUGAAUAGGGGGCCUGUGUCUCUCCCUGGAGCCACCAGUUCUUUUCUAUCUAGGGGCAGAUCACACUAGGAAUGUAUAAUAAAUGUGCUCCAAAUUUUUAAAAAAUGCAUUUCAUUUCCAUUAUUGCAUCAACUCUGCACUAGAGGUGUGCGCCGAUGAAAAAUAACAUUAUCGGCGGUGUUGGUGCGAUUUUGACCGGCGGUGGCGUAUCAGUGUGACGCCGUUCGCCAAAAUUGGUGGCGGCGUAAUACGGUGAGGGAUAUUUUUUGAUUAUGACGGGAAGUAGAGACGACUUCUUGUUCAAACCUUGCCAUGUUGGCUGUUGUACCCGCGUGUUUCUAAACUAAACCAAGGACUGAUGACGUAGCGUUAUCAUCAGCUUUCAAGGUAACACAGUGAUUUUCGACAGGGGAUUAAUUAUAUUGGAGUAAAUUUAAAUGAAUCUUGUUUAAUAUGACGAAGUUUUCGUGACUAACGGAAGUCGCUUUUCUGCAGUACCAUCAAUGCGCAAUGUAGUACUGAUAUAAUUUAACACUUUAAGCCAAGCAGAAAGAUUCGUUUGCAGAACAAUCUAAAACACGUGGUGUUGAAAGUGACAGCGUGGGAGUUUAGGUUCCUGUGUACACGAGAAAUGACAAUAUAUGUGUAGAAGUAAGGUUACGUGACCUAUCACCGCGUACCCCUCCUAAGCUAAUUGCAAAAUGCAUGUAGCAAUAAAAAGAAGUAGAAUCCGUUACACCUGAUACUUGAAGAAGACUCUUUGCUUCCUACUUGACUAAACAACUCAGAACUCACGGAAUUAUUAUUAAAGAAACCACGCUAUGCACCAAUGAAUUGGAACUGACAUACGCCGUUAUUAAAGCAACAACAGCACUGUGGGCGUGCAGUAAAUACUUCGGGAAAACCUGGGGUCUCAAACCGAGAUUGGUUUACUGGUCCUACACGACCAUCGCCAGACCACGAUUAUUCCUCCAUUGCGUGGUGGUCCAAAGUUAAACAAAAGACUGCCUAAACUAAACUAACUAACGUUCAGAGGCUAGCCUGCCUUUCUGUCAUAGGCGCUAUGAAAUCAACACCCACUACAGCUAUGGCAGCCAUGCUUCAUUUACCUUCAUUGCACAAACAUGUUAUAGGAGAGGCGAGACUUAGUUCUCUGAGAGUGCUAAAGGGUAAACCACUAUUUGAUGGAGAUUUAAAUGGUCACCUGAGUAUAAUAAAGAAACUCAAACUAUACCCUGUAUUGACUACAGUUCAAGAUAAAAUGGGGGCUAAACCGGAUCUCGAUAUCUCAUAUGAGGUCCACAUGUAUCAAUAUCAUUCUAUAUGGAUGGUUCUAAAAUGGGUGAGCUGACUGACUCGGGACUCUACGGACUAAGAAUUGAAGAAGCGAUAUCAAUGGGAAAGUGGCCUACAAUUUUCCAGACAGAGGUAUAUGUAAUAUACACCUACUUGGAAGUCUGUAGGAAACGAAACUACAGGCAUGUAAAAAUAACUACUUUCUCGGACCACUAAGCAGCACUGUUGACCUUAGGGUCGUCGAAAUGUGAGUCCAAACUGGUUUGGGAGUGAAUCACAUCUUAACAACAACUGACAGCUCGUAAUAAAGUAUCGAUAUGCUGGGUAUAAGACAACCAAGGAAUAGGUGGUAACGAAGUGGCCGACGAAUUAGCUAGGUGUGGUUCAUCAAACAUGUUUGUUGGACCAGAAGCAUUUCUAGACAUAUCUACCUGUGCCAUCAAACUAGAACUUUCGAUUUAAGUAAGAGACCAACUACUAAACGAUUGGUGUAACGUAUUAGGCGCUUGACAAGCUAAGAAAUUCAUACAUCCAGUUCCAGAUACAAUGAAAACCCAAAAAGUUAUGUAUCUAGAACGAAAAGAUUUACGUAUACUCACAGGUUUAUUUCCGGGGCAUUGUCCUGCUAAGUAUCAUCUGAAAAAAAAUACAAAAAUCAAGAUGACAUUUGUAGAUUCUGUAACUACGAGCCUAAGAGCUCGGAACAUAUUCUCUGCCAUUGUGCAGUACUAUUUUUUCGAAGGAAGCGAUACUUCGGAAGACAUCUUGUGACACCUCGCAGGUUAUGGCAUACCUGUCCCAAAUGGAUCCUCAGCUGGGUAAUACAUUGAUAAUGUAUUACCCAUUUGGGACGACACAUGUGGACAAACAAACUACUGCUUCCAACUACAUUGUAAUUGUAGAGUAAACAGAGCAGCCACAAAAAAUAACCUGAAUGGUGAUCGCAGUGGCAAAGUUUCCUCUAACAAAAAAUGCACCCAUGAGAAUCAAACUUCUACGUGCAAGUACUGUAUUCAGAGACCACACCAUGGACAACCUAUGGCCUUGUUAUGUUACCGCUUUGAACGGUAAUAUGACGGGGUAAAACGAAGGUAGAAAAACGAUCUGGAUUUGAGUCUGUACGUUUUCAGGGCUACUCUGAUCGUAUGAUACAGAGAACUCAAUAUUUGGCCACGUAUUCCGUAAGCAAAAGAUUUUAGUAUGAAAAAAUUACGAAAUGGCGCGAUUUUCUAAUAUGGUUCUUGAAAAUAUUAGGUCAAUAUAUUACUAUAUUUUAACUGCGGCAAAGUUCUACUGUAUCGAUUUUGUUGGCUUUUUCGUCAAAUUGAGGGCAAAGAUGGAAAUGGCAAUGGAAAUGAAUAUUGAAAGGUAGAUAGGUAUUCUAGAGUGAAUCAGUUAUAAACUUAGAAUAGCAAAUUUUCCAUAACUUAGUUUUCAGUUUCGUUUCGGCGUCAGACUUCACAGCCGAGUCUUAACAAUGAAAAGGACAAUGUCAUGACUAGUGCAAGGAUCCUACUGACUACUAGUAUCCUCCUGAAUUGUCAGAUCAAGGUUAAUAGUUAAAUACCAUGAGCCUCGUUUGGUGACGUCAAGAUAGUGGCUCGACCAAAUGAAAGUGUCCGUUACAAACAUGAAUCGAUCAUUGUAUGCAUGUGCAUGAGAUUCUGUUUUGGGUGUUCAACAACAGUCUAAAUCGGCAUGAUGUAACGUGAGUUGACUUCUAAGUACUAGCUCAUAAUCACACUACGAGUUGUCUUGUGUUGUCUUAGCAUAGAACUACUAAAAUCGGAUUUCUUGUGAAACACGAGAAACGAUCCGAAAAACUAAGAUAUUCUACGAACAUAUUGCUCUGCCUCUUAACACAUACUGUUUGCCAACCUAUUCAGCUGAGUUUCGCUUGUUCGGACUCGGAACGGAAAUGCUUUGUUUCCACAUCUUCCGAAGACUGGGAAUGAAAAGUAUCACACAAAAUUGUUAUAUUCAAUAAGCUGAUCGUUUCACAAAGAACAUACCUAAGUUCUUACAUUCAGUACACAUUUAGGUCGAAUAUAGAAUGAGCGCUCGUUUAAAUAUGAUCGACGGCGCAGCUCAAAAAGGAGCGCGCUGACCAUUUUUUUUUAAAUCGGCAGCGUGUAUAAAUCAUCGGCGGCAGCGGCGCACACCUCUACUCUGCACUACAGUGCAGAACAGUCUGUUCAACAAACAUCAUGCUGCACUUCGUUUGAUGUUUAGUUGGAUGUAGAGCUAGUUCUUUUAGAGGUUUGACGUCUUACACGCAAAAUACAAUACACAAAAUUUGGUUGAUUUUACAUAUGCAUCACAACACACUGAGAAGCCCAAAAAAUUGUUUCAAGAUCGCUCAAUAUAGGUUCAACGAUGGACGCCUAUUGAACGGUUAUUUGGACGUCGUCCUACGUUGGUCCCACGAAUGACCUUCAUUGGACGACUUUGAAACCAACCGUUCUUAGGGGGAAGUGAUCUUCCCCUAGCUCUCUAUACUUCUACAAGUUCCAGAUGCUAUUUUUCCAUGGGCGGUUUAGUGCACAUUGAUAAUGAAUUGUUUUUUAGCCAAGUGGUACAGCUUAGUUUAUGUUUUAUUUGCAUUAUCGGUUGAUGUACUGUAUUGGGUUGAAUAACCACUACUAUCUGCUAUUUAGAAUGGUGUUUAGCAAAAAAUAAGCACUCACGGAUACACUAAAUGUCUUCCCGAACCCAUAAUUUAAAUCGUAUAGUAUACAAACUAAACAGCAUAUGCUUUACUAAAAUCGCGAGAUAAUUACAUAGGUAUUGCGAACACACCAACCAAGGAAAAGCUGAUUUGUGAACCGCAAAAAAAAUACAAUUCGACGUGCAAGGAGUCACUUCGAUUUCGACACACGUUUCGUAUAAAUAUUCUUUGAAAUUUUCUGGAAAAUAAAUGGUUCCGUUCUAACACUUUUUAUUGUUAAAUUUAGUCGCACUGUAAAAGAAUAUUUAGAAAGAACUGAUUUUUCGGAAAGUGACACAUUUGAAAUUAAAUAAAACUUUAGAUAAGACAAUAUAUUAUGAUAAACCAAGGAAGAACAAAUUGAGCAAAUUUCAUUCGUUUUGCUGGCAUUAUACAAAGUAACAAUGAACGAUAUUUAUAUUUAUAUAUAUGAAAAUAUUACAGUCAUUAGGCGUUUACUAACCCUGUUCCCGCAUGUUGCAAGACUUUUACGAGCCUAGGGAUUAUACAACUUAAAUUUUAGGUCACACUUGUGAUCGUCCCAAGAGCCAUAUUGAAUGCCAUUCUCAAAAGGUUUUAUUUAAAUUUCUAUUUAUUUUUACUUGAUUUCGAUCUAGAACAUAAACUACUCAGUAUUGUAUAAUCAAUAAUAGCGAGCAAGCCCUUUUCUAUUUGUUACUUUUUUACAAAUGAAGAGGCAAAUUUAUCGUUUUAAUGGAAACUUACACUUACACGAAGCUUCGAACCGAACCGGACAUACAACUAAUGAAAGGACAAACGUUUGUUUUAGGUGAAAGUCGCUUCUUUUCCCUCAAAUAACAUAAUCCAAACCAACGCUGUAAUUGUAGCUGGUUCAAAGAAACGUGAAACAAAUGAAGAAAAAAAAUCUAGUGUAGCGACGUCAUAUGGCAACUUUUAUAGGAAGCACUUUAUAUAUAUUAUAGUCAUAUACACACCAAGGAUAUGUACAUUUUACAAUUACAGUUGAAGUGAUGAAGCAGCCGCUUUAUAAUGUAAUUGUAUCUUGUUUUAUAAUUCCAUUUUAUAGAACAAUCUUUCAAUUAUGUUUCAGAUAUUAUUAUGCCUUGUCUUUUAUAUACACGUAUUUAUUAUACACAAAAAAACAAGAAAAUGUACGAAAAAAAGGAUAAAAAUAUUUUGACAAAAAUGAAGCAAAAAAAUAAUUUUGUAGUAUGUUUUUAGGUGAUAGAUUUUCCCAAAAUAAAAAUCAAUUAUUAAAAGCAAGCACGACAGAUAGUGCACUGAAAAACAAGUACUGUAGGAGUCUCUCCCCUAUUAAACAUUGGCUAUAAACCUUGUAUACAGUGGAUUUUUGCCCGAAACGAAAACGAAAGUUUAAACCGUGAACUAAACAUAUACACUUAACAAUAUUGAUGCAACCCUAAGUGGUAAAUAGAACAACGUGGUGAAAUUCAAAGCAUACAAAAACACCCAAACUACACAAACACGACAAAGAUCAGCUACUAUGCUUCACCACUUAAAACACAUACAAACACACAAAACAAGAACGUAAGCCAAAUAGAAGUAUAUAUAUUUUUCAUGCUUUAGAGAUUACGAUUGUAGAUCUUGGACAUUGAAUUAACCUGUGUUAUCAAAUGCCGGAUUGCAGGGCUAUGGCCAACGGAAAAUUAUUCAAUGUUUUGAAACUAGAAACGCAGAUCGAUCAAUCAUCCAUCACAUGUCGCCUAGUUUUGGAAUAAGUUUCCAUCAAGUUGGAUAGUUUUCCGAAAGAGCAACUACUAUCCCGCGUGCCACUGAAAUGGGAAACAAGUCCAGUAAUAAGCGUAUUUUCGAAAAAAAAAAAAAAGGUUAUAAUCAAAGUUUUACAACAUAUUAUAUACAGUUACGUAGCAGUUUUAAAGUGGUCGAACUGAGAAAAUUAACCAAACUCCAAGGCAAGUAGAUCCUGUUUGACAAAAAUGUAGUUGGUGAAAUUGUAUGAAACACACACAUACACAUUGUCCGGCGGAUGAUUUUAACAAUUAGACGGAAAGUAAACAAAACAAACUUAUCAAACGAGUAUAAAUUUAAAGUAAUGUUCGAACGUGUUGAUGUAGUAUAAAAAUCACAAAUAUUGAGCCACUUUAAAAGUACAUUUAUAGAAUCUACAAAUUCAACCUUGAUGCAAAUAAUAUGAUCAGACUACCUAAAUUGGAAUAAAAACCAGGAAAGCAAUAUUUUAUUGAUAAAAUUUACUACAAAUUAUUUUAUCUCGAAAGAAACAGUUGACUAACAUUUACUUACUCGACAUUCACAGCCAUAGUAAUAGCGUUGCUUUAAUCCAACGACGGUAGGUCGAGAAGUAAUAACACACUCAAUAAAAAGCACCAGCAAAAACCAGUGUUGGCAGCAUGCGAUUAUUUUUUACUGCUCCUAUAUUUACAUACAGCGCAGACCGUCUCCAUUCGAACAAUUGCGCGGAAAAUUGAACACAUUUUUCACGAAUGGUUUCCUCAAAGAUUUGUAACCUAAAACAAAAAUGAUAUACCCUGUAUAAUUCUUCUAAAUGUUUACCAAUUUGGAGUUUGAUAGGAAGAAAGUAAAUUAAAUUAUAUAUUUAAAAGAAAACAACAAUCCUAAACAUUGAAUACAACGUUUGUGGCAACUGCUAUCGAUAUAUAGAACGAACUGAUUAUUCCUGCUGUAAGUAAAUGUUCUAAACCGUACAAUAAUUCUGCGCAUAGAUUUGGACAACUCAAUGAGAAUCAAGCUGACGGGUUAGAGUGACCAACCAACAUUCCCCCUAUACUCAAACCAACAAAAAAAAUAAAAGAAAAAUCAACACAUUAAGACCAUACACGGUUGUGAAAUAUUUUAUAUCAUUAUUAUUCCUCUUGAUUUCAUAUAAUUUCUGGCAUCACUUCAAAAGCCAGUUUGGUCAAAUUAUACACACGUUAAUCAUUUACAUUACGUGACGGUCAAAACGUUUCGCAAUUUUGAAAGAAUAACUACUUAUAUAGUGAAAAUCAAAGAGAGCUUACAAGAAAAAACUAAAUUUAGACACAAAAAAAUCAUGUUAUGUAUAAUAUAUUUCGCGCAUUUUUGCUGCUAGCCUAAGUUGAAGCGUUCAAAACGUCCACUAAUUCUAUUUUUCGCUUCAGUAAACGAAAUUUUAGCCGCAAUAGGCGAAAUUGCUUGAUGCAAUCAAACCGAAAUUCCCACAUAAAACAUACAUAAUAUUGCAAUGUUCCGCAACCGUUCGUUUCGGAGUCCAUUUCUGGUAGUUUAGUACAAAGUAUCAUAUUUAAUCUCGCUACCGAUUCAAAUCACCAUUAUAUAAGCGACCAGUCGAAUCCAGUGGAAAACUUAAAAAUAGCCAGUGGGAGAAAAUGUCAGACAAUAUUUAUACUAUAUUUUGAAUUUUGGCCAAAACAGAUUUCGUUUCAUAUUAAUAUAAUUUUAGAACAUUUUUAUAUAACAACAAAAAACAAGAAAAAUAAAAUAAAAUACCAAAAUUCAAGCCUUAUGAGAAUCGUUUUUCGAGUAAAUAUUACCUACUUCCAAUCUGUACUAAUACAUGUUAUUGAAUGUAUUUUCUAGCACAUGUUCAAAUGUGUGUGUGGAACGACUUCACUACCGUUUAUUGAUCUCUCUAAGUAAGAAAAAUACGCAUAUACAUACAACACACACACAUAGACACGUACAUACUGACAACAUGAACCAGCACUUUUCUCUGUCAUCUCCGUUCGAAUAAUAUAAUAGAGUUGAAGCGAUGUACAGUUAAUCAAAUCGUAUUUGUCAAACUAGCAGAAUGAGAUGAAAUCGGUGGCUACCCAGUACCCUCAUCGAUCGAUAAAAAAAGUAUUAAUGAGGCAAAAUAUUAAAGUAAAGUUACAUAUCACAGAAAGAGCAAAGUUACGGUAAACAUCCGAAAGAAUUCCUAUACAUAGUACUUUUAUCCACUCUAACACAUUGGUGAAGGCAACAGAACAAAAAAAAACAAAAUCACCGGAGAAUGGCAAACCAACAUGAUAAUAAUUUUUGGCGUUGUACACAUAUAUAAUAAACACAAAACACAAAAAAAAGAUAUUUAAUAUUUAUCCAGCAACAAAAAUCCUAUCCAUUCAAAAUCAUCUCAAUAUUGAGAAUAAAUACAAAAAAAACUACUACUAGUGUUAAUUUUUUGCACAAUAUUUACAAACCAAAAUGUAAACAUUACAAUUUUUAGAAGGAAUUACGACAAAUAUUAAAACAAGAACUAUUUUUUGAAACAAUUAUAAACAAAAGAAGAAAAAAAGUAACGAGCAAGAGUUUUAAAUUUACAGUAUGAUACAUAGAUCAAUUAUUAUUAUGAUUACAAUUUAUUACAUUGCGUUGAAGGGGUUCCAGUUUCCAACACUGACAAUGAGCAAACGGAAAGACGAAUAUAUGCAGAAUAGUUUACUACAACUACUAAUAUGUAUUUUAAACAGUUUACCACGAACAUACAAUUAAACAAACAAUAACAAAUCGAUAGAAAGAAAAAAACAAUUUCCGAACUGUAGUUUACCUAGCAGACUGUAGUGUACUUUAGAGUAACUUAGAGAGUGAGUGUGGGAAAAAUUCAAAUGAACCUACUUUGUGUUACCAAGUUUACUAGAUAUUUUUUUAGCAAUUGACAGUUGGUCGGUUGGGAAUUGUACCAAUUGUGUGGACAAAUAGAAUAGACAACAAUGUUGAUAGUCGAUAUGUGAAACUAUUGCCGUUCUUGAUUGCUUCCGAAACUUGUACUGUUUGGUAUGGUACUGAAACUAAAUUAGGUUCUAACCCUCAGCUGCUGUCAGAUCAUAUAUUUUGACAGCAGUUGGGGUUAGAACCUGACUCAGUUUCGUUUCUGACAAAUUUAUUAAAUCUAGCUGUUUCUAGGAAAAGCCACAUAUAUAAUGACUUUUAUCUGGUCUGAAAAUUGUGUUUCGCACAACUUUCUUAAUCAAAUUGUUCGGUCAUUAUUCUUGAACUUGAUCAUUAUUAAGGCAAUGCAAAGGUAUAAACAAUAAAUUCAGAAACAAAUCAUAAUUAAAUGUAUAUUUGCUAAAGGUAUAGUAAUAACAACUGAAUGGAUGGCGUCCAAAAGGGGGUAACCCAUAUUUUUUUCGGAAUCGAUAUUUUUGCUUAUUUUAAUAGUUCAAAGUAAUCCACGUGGACUGCCAUUUAAGAUAUCUGAAAAUAAUUUUGGGAUUUUUUGGUAUUAGCAGUCAAAUUUGACCAUGGAGGUAACCCCAGUACUAGCUGGUGCCCAAAAGGGAGUAUUUCCACGUUGUUUUAUGGAUAUUCGAGUUUUCUCGUUCGUUUUCCGAGGUUUUAAGAAAAGAGGUAGUCUAUCGAUUCGCCAUCAGUGAAUGUUAUGUUGUAGCUUGCAUAUCGGUGAACUCGAUAUAAUACUGUUUUUAGUUGGAUUGCACUGUACUUUGACGUUUCGGCCCUAACAGUCGUUCCUGAAGAUGGGUGCCGCUCACAUACUUGCUAUGUAUGGCUAUUUUCUAUCUAAUAUUUAUUUCUUGCACAAAUGUAUAUUGUUGAGCGCAUUUUUUUUGAAAAUUCCAAUGAAAGCGUCAUGUCUCUAUAUUGAAAGUUGACCGAGCAAUUAGGGAUCAAGAGAAAAAUGGUACAUUGUGGUCGGAAAAUUAAACAAACGUGGAAUUAAUUAUUAUUUUUCGUUAUAGCGUUUUGGUGUAUUCGGAAAAAUCGCUGUAUGGAACCUAGCGCUUUAUUUGGUUCAAUAAUACUAUUUCGUAAUUCAGCCGCCAGGGCGGCGCUUUGAUCCACUUUUAAAUAAAUCUAGAAAUGUUGUGUACUCGAGAAAGUUGUAGGUCCUUCAUUUUAAAUGUAUCUCCUGAAGAUAAAACUUUCUAGGUCCUGUAUAUUUCAAGAUAGGGCAUUUUUAGUUAAAAAUUUAACAUACAGAUUAUGUUUUCAAAAAUGCAUCAUAUUUCAAAACUUGCAGGACCUACAAAGUUAGUAUCUUUACAAGAUACAGUCGUGAUUCGUUGGUUGGGCCACAGCUUAUGUCCAACUAACGAAUUUAAUUUGCUAGUUGGACCGACUGACAAAUGUCAAAAACUCUCCAAAGAAGACAUUAAAAGUGUAAAAGAUUGUCAAAGUCAAUUUGAGAUGAGUUACAGUCGUGAUUCGUUGGUUGGGCCACAGCUAACCAAUUUAAUUCGCUAGUUGGACCGACUGACAAAUGUCAGAAACUCUCUGAAGAAGACAUUAGUAGUACAAAAGAUUGUUUGAAAGAUUGAAGAUUGUCAAAGUCAAUUUGACAUGAGAUUUUGACAUUUAGAUGCUUUUUAGUUGGACAAUGGUCGAACUAGCGGAGGUCCAACGCCGCCCAGUUGAAAAGUGUCCAAUUCAGAGUUAAAAAUAUUCAAAUUCAUUGAAUGAAAAUUGAUCAUAUUCAGCCGCAUUCAUUUUCAAUAUUCAGUGACGCAGCUGAAAACGUCAAACGAAAAAACCACCCAUUCAUCCAUGCAGGUUUUCAUUCGGCUCCGAUUAUUACACGAAGCGACCGUGCAGCAACGAAUCAAACGCAUCAAAGUAGGCCCUGGUACAAUGUUAGCGAUGAUGAUUGUUGUUUCAUUUGCUUUAUCGGCAUUUGAAAACAUUUUCCUAGAUAAUUAGUGUAAUGAAUAUAUUGUACGAUAUGAAUAAGAUGGAUAGUUGAAUGAAUUUUUUUUUUUCUAUUCACCGCGAGUCGCAACAGGUUCAUUUUCAGCCGUCAAAAAAGAGCUUCGAUUAUUUUUAAUUCUGAUCCAACCAGCGAAUCAACUGUAUAUAUAAAAUAACCUCAUACAACUUUGUCGUAUACAUUAUCUUUCUAUCUCGUUCCAUUAAAAACACAACAACAGAACUGAUAACAACGCCGCCCCAGCGACUACAUUUCGAACUAAUAUGAAAUGAUCAAAUAAAGCGCAAAAUGAGUUUUACAAUAAAAGCCACGUUAAUUUGAAAAUUCGGAAGUUUUUUCCAUUACCUGUAAAAAAUGGAAAAUAUUGGGAUAGCCAUCCAUUCAACUAGGAUUGGGCGAUAUCGAUGCGAUUUUUUCUUCUCGAAAAUCGAUAUUUUGUAUGCGAUCUUUUCGGUUCGAUGGUUGGCAACAUCGAUUUUAUUGAUUCAAUAAAAUCGAUUUUUCUUCCAACAUUCCCGUUGGAAAAGACGCGAUUUUUGUCAGUUCUUUUUUAGCAUCCCUCUCAGAUUUCUAGAUGAUUUCUGUCGGGUCAGCUAAACUAAGGCAAAAUGGCUUUCCCUCGCACUUCCUUGCAAUAUUCGGAUAGGAAUUGAGCAAAACGCUGAAUUUUGAAAGAAACCGUACAAAGACCGUUCGUGGCAGAAUCAUAGCAUAAAUCGAGCAUGAAAUCUGCCAAAGUUCUGGCAGAAAUCGCAGUACCCGUUAAUAUUACCGCUUCUGUCAGAAUGUUUUUGUAGAUGAGCUAAUUUUCUGCUAGACUUCUGGUUAACGCGUACAGAAUGCCAGUCGGACGUUACCAGAUCCAAUUGCGCUUUACUCAAAGGCGAAGUCGCACCAAUCUAGAACUGUCCAAAUUAAAACUUGUUAUCGGCAGUAAUCAUGCUUUUAGACAGCUUUAAUUAGCUGUCAUUUCCAGCAAUGAUUUUGCAAAGUUUUUUAAUUCUUAUUCCUUUUCAGUUUGACGAACAAAAAUGAAGGAAAACUGAAACACCGUGUAGAAAAAAUGGCACUCUACUAAUGAUAUAAGAUGAAUAUUUCAAUUUUAAUGGAAUUCGGUUUUCGCAUAUCAAUAAUUUUUUCAUGAAAAUUACCUCCCUGUCUUGAACACCGUUACUUUACCUUGCUAGUAACGUGCACAACUUUUGUUGUUUAGGAUAUAUUGUACAGACUCAAAGGCAAUGAAAUAUGUCGAAUAUAAUAAUCAAGAGGACACGCAAAACGAAUAAAAUUAGCAGUAUACUAGCUUUAUAUUUGCUCUAUGAUAGUGCCAAAUGCAUAUGUAAUGUUUUCAUUCUUUUAAAAUCCUUAGGGCUUAUAUGCGCUAUAUCAGCUUUAUAUACGGAUACAGAGCUGACAUUAAUGCUACAUUUUGCCUGUGCUUUUAGGCAUUUAUAAUGCGAGGGUAGCACUCCAUUGCAUUGCAAAUGCCGAUAGAGGAUUUUCAUGCAAUAUUAGUGCUAAUUUAUAACCAAUAUGGCGCAAUGGAUUGGAUUCUUACCUGGGUAGACUUAACGACAUAAAAAUUUCUUAGUUCUUAGCAUAUUUUUUUUUCUUAAGAGGGUUUUCCAGUGAAAAAACUUAAAAUAAAUCGUUUAUUUAAUUUUUGCAUAAAUCGUUUAUUUAAUUUUUGCAUAUUUUGCACUAAAUGCUCAAGAAAGGUUGGCUUGAUUCGUCGACUAGAGGCCAUCAAACUUUCUGCCUCUGUAUAAUUUCUAGUAAGUUGCAAGUAGUAUCGGUUAUACAACCUUAAAAGCAUAUCUAAAUGAUAAGUCCUAUUGUCAUGUGAGUUAUGUAGAUUUCCUUAAUCAUGUGAUCUGUAGUUUCUUUUUUGUUUUACCACGAACUUUGAUAAAAAUCCUUAAUAAUUCUUCUUUUUUAAACUUUUGUAGUUUAUAGAUGAUAAUCUAAAAGAACCACCGGAAUCCAAGUAACAGGAUUUAAUCUCAUCAAUUUUAACAAAUCUAUAGCAUUUACUGCUCCAUAAACAUUAAUUAGUUAAACUGACCGAAUACGAGGAUGAAAACAAUCGAGUUCAUCGGGUUUUAUCAACCGGCUGAACAACAUUCGAGUUCUUCAAUUGUUAUCGUUGGCUGCUUCUGGUAGUGAGGGGUGUGAACUUUGCGCCUUUGUCGGACCCCUCCCUGAAAUUCCGGAAGACACAGCAGAAUGUUCCAUGCGAUACCGUUGUUGUGCUCACUUCACUCUCCUGGACUGUUAACUAAGAAGAGCAAUGUCCCUUCUGAUUAUCCUCCACAACGCAUCGAGAGUGGCAUAGUGCAUACUUUGCAGCUAUCUGGGAAAGCAAAAUUCUACAUCUAAAUAAACUGACAAAAACAUUCAUAAGCAAUAUUUACUGCUAAAUGUGAACGGCUGUGUGUAAUUUUCCACCCAAUGCUAAAUUGUUAGACGUGUUACAAAAGGAAUGAAAUAGGUCAUAAUUGUCUCUUCUUAACGCUUUAGGUAAUACAAAACGAUGGAAGUUUUUUAAAAAAUAAUCGAACAAUUACUUUGAUUCAAAAUUCUCGCCCAUAUGCUGCGCGGCAUGUGUCGUGAGACGGCAAAUCUCAUCUCACUUCCCACGACUUUUCGCACUCCAUUCUGAAGAGUCACUUCGGGUGACGUUAGACGCCCGUCCAUUCAAUGACAUUCGGCAAUCUUAUCCCAAAUCGACUCUCAGAAUGGGGUGAGAAAAGUCAUGUCGAGUGAAGUGAAACUUGUCAUCUCACGUCACACGGUGCGUAGAAUAAGAGCGUCUGUCUAGUUUCAACACAUACUCAUGUCUGCCUUGAAAUGUACCCUCAGGUCAGUAAAAAUCUCCAGGUCAAAGUUUUACGAGUGGUGGUUACUCUAGUUGAACUCGAAAUAGGGAAACGACGCUUAUGAUUAUCAUCCCAAAUUUCAGCAGUAUAUCAUUCGCUUUUCAUCAGUUUACAAGUGUUUGAACAGAAUCAAUAGUUAAUUAUUGAUGCGUUGCCACACACUAUUCAUAAAAGUCUACUAGUAGGCUGACUGUGUAUUAAUUAACCCAUUCAUGCCCAUGUUGUUUGUGGACAACAACGUUUUUAAACAGCUAUAACUUUUGAUUGAUCCAAGAUUUUCUCAUAAAAACAAGUAAGGCUAAUAAAUGUGACUAUUGCCUUUCAUUUGAGUAUUUACAGUUACAAGGAUCAGCUGUAGAAGUGAAGUUAUUGCAAUUAUUCGGAUUGGAUUGCGGUGGAGUAGUGCUGCCAGGGACAGUACGUUUACGACGGAAAAUAAAUUUUUCAUAUAUCUUCGUUGUGUUGCAAUAUUAUUGAAAACUGAUAAAACUUAUCAAUUUAGGCUGUCUUUGGCUACAUUUUCCAUGCAAUUGGACUAUUGCAAAUAUUCUAGGAGAAUUGUAUUGAGCAUUGAAAGGUAAAAAUUGAGCAGCUUCUACAACUGCGGAGGAAGCACCUAUCUUUAUGAAAAAGGGCUUUUCAUGUUUCUUGACUCCACCGUUUUCAAGGAAAAAUUGUUUUGAAACCCUACAUGCUCUAGAAAAAAGUUGGGCAUGAAAGGGUUAAAGCGACAGAAAGCUGUGCACAUUUUGCUUUCGUCAAGACAACCCAUGUUUCUAUCCAUACACAUACUUUACCAAAGUGUCAUUCACCUUAAACCCAACGAAGUACUUCCAUCAUUUAUUGUUUCAUGGUUACAACAGAACAUUCUUGCAAAUGUAUUUUAACAAUGUUCAUAACAAUCCGUCUAUGAUACGCAAAAGCCACACAAUAGUGGGAUUAUCCAGUACUAUCUGUGGCAUUUUUGACUUUUCAAAAAUACUCGCAACAUAUAUUUCUAACUAACAACAUUUCGUCUCAACCAGUUCGUACACAACCCUUGCCCAACCAACCAACGCAAAUUUUAUGGUUUGUCAAUUGCUAGAAGAAAAGGAAAAACCCGAACAAAGGCCUCGUCUACGCAAAUGUCUGUUAGAGUGUUCGAAAAUCCCCUGUGUAGUGCGCAAGCCAAUUAUAUAUUAAUUGAAAUAUUGAGGAAACAAUUUCAGCUAUAAUAGGUAAAUAAAAAAAUAACACAACAAUAUAUUGAAACCAAUAUGAGCGGUAGUCCUUUACUUAUAUCAUCAGGGUAUUUCUUAGUUGACACUAUUCGAAAGCGAGUAAAAUUUCUGCAGGAUUUUGUAUUAGAGACAUACUCAAAUAUAUUGAAAUGCAUUAAACAAAGAUAUGCUAUUAUAUACAACACAUAUUAUAUAUACAACGUACAUAUAUACAUUUUUGCCGCUUAAUAGUCAUAUUUUCCAAGUCGACAGAAGAAAAAAAAAUUAAACGACAAAAUACCGUGAAACAAAAAUUUUAAACGAACAACAAAAUACUUCGACCGAUAAUCCCGAAUCAGAUCCGACUAAGAUUGCAGAAAGAUAAAAAAUGAAACAAAAAAAUAACACUAUUCGUGAUAUACAUGAAUGCAUAUAUAUUUCACUGUUUUUAUUUAUUUGUAAAGGAUUUGUGGUUCUUUUUCCUUCAACAUAAAUAAAGUAUUCGACUUUAGACAA